rnacentral:rRNA from 1 species
CCUACGGGUGGCAGCAGUGGGGAAUAUUGGACAAUGGGGGGAACCCUGAUCCAGCCAUGCCGCGUGUGUGAAGAAGGCCCUCGGGUUGUAAAGCACUUUCAGUGAGGAAGAACGCCUGGUGGUUAAUACCCAUCAGGAAAGACAUCACUCACAGAAGAAGCACCGGCUAACUCCGUGCCAGCAGCCGCGGUAAUACGGAGGGGCGAAGCGUUAAUCGGAAUUACUGGGCGUAAAGCGCGCGUAGGUGGCUUGAUAAGCCGGUUGUGAAAGCCCCGGGCUCAACCUGGGAACGGCAUCCGGAACUGUCAAGCUAGAGUGCAGGAGAGGAAGGUAGAAUUCCCGGUGUAGCGGUGAAAUGCGUAGAGAUCGGGAGGAAUACCAGUGGCGAAGGCGGCCUUCUGGACUGAAACUGACACUGAGGUGCGAAAGCGUGGGUAGCAAACAGGAUUAGAUACCCCGGUAGUC